rnacentral:rRNA from 1 species
UACAGAGGGUGCAAGCGUUAAUCGGAAUUACUGGGCGUAAAGCGCGCGUAGGUGGUUGUGUAAGUUGGAUGUGAAAGCCCCGGGCUUAACCUGGGAACUGCAUUCAAAACUGCACGGCUAGAGUACGGGAGAGGGGGGUAGAAUUCCAGGUGUAGCGGUGAAAUGCGUAGAUAUCAGGAGGAAUACCGGUGGUGUAGACGGCUCUCUGGACCGCAACUGACGCUGAGACACGAAAGCGUGGGUAGCAAACAGG